AGCGUAGACGGCAAGGCAAGUCUGAUGUGAAAACCCAGGGCUUAACCCUGGGACUGCAUUGGAAACUGUCUGGCUCGAGUGCCGGAGAGGUAAGCGGAAUUCCUAGUGUAGCGGUGAAAUGCGUAGAUAUUAGGAAGAACACCAGUGGCGAAGGCGGCUUACUGGACGGUAACUGACGUUGAGGCUCGAAAGCGUGGGGAGCAAACAG
rnacentral:rRNA from 1 species